GUAUUGAAUCAUGGUGGGGAAUUAAUGAGAAUUUCAUUUGCUGUUCCUGCAACCGUAAAGUCGGAGUGCCACCCAAUAU
ncrna:unclassified sequences AdoCbl variant RNA